rnacentral:lncRNA from 1 species
GACCACCGGAGGGAUUUAAAUAGACCUCGCCCUCAAAGAAAAAGAAGGAGGAGUCUGCUAAAUAUUGUAUUCGUCGAUCGAUUAUUAUGCCGUUGCAACCAGCACCUCCAGCAGUUUCACCAACUAUUUUGUUUGAGGGUAGCACAUAGCAGAGAAAAUGGAGGUCUUCAGAAAUGGAAAUUUCUCUGCUGAUUCCCUGGUAUUCGAAGUAACUUUCUUCGUUUUCGCCUAGCUUGGAGGAAACCUGAUCUGGUAGACAUCGCACCACGCUUUGGAAUAUUGGAAACAAUUUAAUUGAGAGCAUCGCGUUAAUUUUGGUUUGAUUACCAGGCAUUUGGGAUGUUUUAAUAUGGUGUGUUGGCAAGGACAUCUACAUUCUGUGCUAGUGAGUGAUGCCUCAAGAAGCCUGUCUUUUUUCACGAAGAAGUUGAGCUUUAAAUAUCGGCAAGACUCCUUUGGUUCAAAUAAUAAGGGUAUAAUAUGAGUAUGCAAUUUUGAUUUUCAUUAUAUAGAAAUUACAAAACCCACCAUUGAAAUAAUGUUUGAUUUGUUUUUAAAUGUAUGUGUAACAACCAAUGGUCAAUGGACAAUGAUUUUUACAUGCGUCAUUAUGAGAUUUUCCAGGCAGAAAUUCUAGCAAUUCAGCAUUUGAUUAACACAACUGUGAGCAAGGAAUCAGCCUAGAGAUUGAGAGCCUCAGCAUAUUAAACUAGCCCAUAUUCCAGUUGUAGCACAAAAUUUGUACAAUCGUGAUUUUUCCGAAAUACCUAAGAAAGUCAAGUAAAUAAAGUUAAGUACGAGGCCUAAGUUAACGUCACGACAAAAGGUAAAUGUCAAAAAGCAAGUCUUGAAGUUUUUACCUCUAUUGAAUAAUUGGGAUUGCCUGUUAGUAUUUUUUUUUAAAUAUUUUUUUGUAAGUUUCUAACAUUUUUGCAAUCUUUAGGUGUUUUACAAGUGAAGAGCGUUUACGAGCAACCGAAAAUUUGUUAUCACUUCAUGAAAUCAUCCAUUUAAAGCGUUUUCUUACACAUUGAUGAUGCAAGAUAAGCUUCUCGCAUUCGCUGAAUUCCUUCCCCGCGGAUUAAAUAUGCCAUAUUUAAUUGAUCCAAAUCUAACUGGUGGGAAUUAAUGAUGGAAAUUUAACAUUUAUAUAUUCCUUUGCUAGUUCUGUCUUCUAUCAGUCAUAGAACGUUCUAUGACUGCUUCUAUCAGCUUCUAUGUAGGGAAAAACCAAUUAAUUAUCGGCGCUUUGUAAGAUACGGCAAUGAUGCACGGUCUUCCGGUCCAUCAGCUGACAGUCAAACCACAUUGGAUUUAGGAGCUAUUUUCAUCAUCCAGGAAUUAUUAUCACCUUGCUCUUAGACAGGAACCUGAAGCCUGAACAGUAUUAAGGCUGGAAUGUUAAGUACUCAUCCGUGGGUGGAAAUCUAAUUGACAAAUGUUCAAAUUGGCCAAAUAUCUUGAGACAGAAAAAACAUAGCAUAAGUUUUGCAAAAAGGAAAAAGGAGCUUCUGGCAAGACUGUUUGACAAAAAAGUCUGGAUUAGUUAAAACAAAAGUUUAGGGUGAAACUAAAUGUAACUUUCACUUCAGAAAGUUAAAACCUGAAAUACCCCCAAAUUAUUUUAUCGUUUCUUUAAGGUACCCUAUGUUGAAAUGUGUUGCUGAUGAAACAUCCCCUUAUAGACUUCCAUAAAGAUGAAGUAAGAGCCUUAGGUCGCUAGCUCGAUCUGCUCGCAGAAUUACUAGAACGUCAUAUUCGUGGUAAUAAAACUUAGAACGUCUGCAAUAUUAAAUUUUUCACUAUUUUAAAGGAAAGCUGCAAACAUAUUUUCAGCAUUGUAAAAAAAAAGGCGUUCAUUCCCUUCAACCAAUUGUUAAACCCGCGAGGUCUCGUAGGAAUCUCCCUUACGCCACUUUAAUGGUAGCUGACAGUGACUGUAAUUAUGGCCCAAUUAGCCCAUGGUUAUCAAGAGCUGCCCUCUUGGUUCUCCGACCUAGAAACUUCCAUCGUCAAAAGCUUCCAGGUUUGUUAUGGUCGUAGAACAGCAGACGACGGAGUUGGCGGCGGAAUUUUACCAUCGGGCAGAACCCAAACGGUCGAAGCAUUGAAAAAUGAUAUCGGUGAGACGUAAGUGCUGAUUCAUAUGAUGGUUGAUUAUGCUGCCAACAUGGCAGGAAAGGAGCGUACCUUGCUUAAUUGGAUUGAAAUCGCGACGUCGGAAGAAGAGCGUCUUCUUCUGGAAGAGUUGUCCAGUUGCAACCAGAAUGUUGCCACGCUACUGCUUAUUCGCAAUGUUGUUGUUCAGGGAGAUUGCCGGAUUUAAAGCUAUGGCGUAGCACUGAGCUGUGAUUAGACACAACCAAUCUGGAAUGUUCUAGCAACCUACGCCCUGAAUUUCAUAUCUAAAUAUUGUAUUUUAUAUUAAUAGGUAAAAAAAAAGGUGGUGGAUGGUU